CGGCGGGCUGGGCGGCGGCGGGGCAGCGGCGGCGGCUGGCCCAGUGGCCGCCCCGCGGGGCCACCCCCCAGCCCCGGGCCCGGGCUACAAGCGGCACUACUACAAAAGUAACAUGAUACAAACAGAUAGAAAAAACAGCAAAAAUAGUGGAAUGUUUCAUCUCUUGGUAAGUAGUCAACGUGUCAACAGCAGAGAAUGGGCAAGGUACGCUUAACGUUAGUACAGGGGCGGGGCGGGGCGGGGCGGGGCAACACUGGCUGGCCGGCCGCCGCGCCCCGCCGCCACCGCCGCGGCAAACUACGCCAUCUUUUGGACUGUAGAAAGGUGAAAAAAUAGACUUUGGAAAACUUUUUUAAGUAGAUACCAACGAAGACUUGCUUCAGAAAGGCCAAUGGUGCGUGGCAAUGACCGCACCGCCACCACCACCACGGCGGCGGCGGCGGCAGCGGCGGCGGAGGUGUGGUGGAGGUGCCUUGGUCGGGUGGUGAGGCCUGGCUGGGCGUGUGUGUAUAAUGGCGUGCGUUGACGUGUGCGUGCGUGUGUGUGUGUGUGUGUGUGUGUGUGUGUGUGUGUCCCCCGCACCGUAUAAAUAUCUCAAGAGUCAACAAAUGGAAUGUUGGCCGCAAAAAAACAAGGACAAUGUGCGUGUGGUGGUGCAUGGGGGCGUACGCACACACACGCACACACACACACACACAUAAGCAAACACGCACACAGAAGCACUGGACCCCUUACCCAGCCAGCCUAACACACACACACACCACCAAACACACCAACACACACACACACACUCACGCACAGACAGAGGCCCAUAUUAACAAACGUAUCGCUCACAUGACAGUUUCCCAAGGCCACAGAGAAAGUUAACUGGGUUUUCAUGGGUGACUGUCCCGUUCCAAGAGGUCAAAGGUCAUGUCAAACUGCCUCUGGGGUCACAAAACAGCCCGUGAAAACCCCAAUUACUUAUCCGAUAGGCUUUACAAAUAGGUGUUUUUUCCACUCCCGAUGUAGAGGUCAUGUCAAACUGCUUCUGGGGUCACAAAACAGCCCGUGAAAACCCCAAUUACUUAUCCGAUAGGCUUUACGAAUGGGUGUUUUUUCCGUGUCAAACCACCUCUGGGGUCACAAAACAGCCCAUGAAAAUCCCAACUUCUCCGAUCGCCUCUACGAAACAGCCGAAAUGGUGCCUAUACGUUUAAAAAUAUGGGCUUUUAGAGAGCGGGAGACAGAGAAUUAGGCCGCUAGAGUGAGAGAGAGAGCGAGAGUGAAAGACGAAGGGCUGUUACCCCCUCACACUACACUAGUCCAUCUUAACCUAAGUCUGGCCUGACCUACACAGCACAGCGAGCACUAACUAGAAAUGACAAGCCACCGAACGGACGCCCCUCUUCCUCCCUCCGUGGGGCGUUGAGGGGGGCCGCUGCGACGCCUAUCCCUGCACCAUGGAUGCCGUAUGCCGCCGAUAAGGGCCGGCGCCACCCUGACCAGGAGGAUGCGUUACUGCACUCGCCACGAUGGGUUUGUUAGUCGAGUACAUGUAACGAUUUUGCGGUUGGUGUUAAAAUGGUGUUAGUGUUAGAACUGUAUAGAUUGUGGGUCGUUCUGCUACAGUUUCGGGUCACGGCAUAUUGUAUUCGUAAGUCUUGUAAACGAAACUGUCGAAAUAACGCAAAUUGUGAUGUAGUUUGCGUUGAGAUCGUUAAGUUAUUGUGGGGCUUUCCUGCAGUAGUUUCGGGUCACAGCAUAUUGUAUUCGUAAGUCUCGUAAACAAAACUGUCGUAAUAACACUAAUAAUAAUGUAGAUAGCGUUAAAUUUGUGAAGUUACCGACUCAUAACGAUUUUGCAGUUGGCUAUAAGAUGGUGUUAGCGUUAGAACUGUAUAGAUUGUGGGUCAUUCUGCAGUAGUUUUGGGUCGCGGCAUAUUGUAUUCGUAAGUCUCGUAAACAAAACUGUUGUAAUAACGCUUAUCAUAAUGCGGAUAGCGUUAAAUUUGUGAAGUUACUGACUCAUAAUGAUUUUGCAGUUGGCUAUAAGAUGGUGUUAGCGUUAGAACUGUAUAGAUUGUGGGUCAUUCUGCAACAGUUUUGAGUCACGGCAUAUUGUAUUCGUAAGUCUCGUAAACAAAACUGUCGUAAUAACACUAAUCAUAAUGUAGAUAGCGUUAAAUUUGUGAAGUUACCGACUCAUAACGAUUUUGCAGUUGGCUAUACGAUGGUGUUAGCGUUAGAACUGUAUAGAUUGUGGGUAUUUCUGCUACAGUUUCAGGUCACGGCAUAUUGCAUUCGUAAGUCUCGUAAACAAAACUGUCGAAAUAACUCUAAUAAUGAUGUAGUUUGCGUUGAGAUCGUUUAGUUAUUGUGGGUCAUUCUGCAACAGUUUCGGGUCACGGCAUAUUGUAUUCGUAAGUCUCGUAAACAAAACUGUCGAAACAACUCUAAUAAUGAUGUAGUUUGCGUUGAGAUCGUUAAGUUAUUGUGGGUCUUUCUUGCAACAUUUACGAGUUCUUGAAUAUCAAAUUGUUCAUUCCAGACCCCAAACAGUGAUACCAACACAGAUUAUGACCUUGUAGUUGGUUUCCCAGACCCAAAACAGACAUAAAAAUGCUAAUAUUGAUAAAGUUAGCGUUAAAACUGUAAACUGAGAGUCUUUCUGCAACAAUCACGAGUCUUAGGGCAUCGUACUUUUCUGUUCCAGACCCCAAACUGUCAUACCCACAUGUACGACGAUGGAGAUAGCUUCAAAACCGUAUCGUCUAACACCAUUUCUACUUUUUUUUCAACUGCUACGCAUCAGAAAACAUCAAAUACAGUAUGCCUCAAAUUACCGAACCCACACAAGUUCCGAUAGAUUGAUAGACGCAGUACGAUAGAUCAAAACCGUAUCAUCUAACAUCCUUUUUCCAACGGUUACGAGUCCGCCAACCUCCAAACCCCUUGUGGCGAGUGCAGUAACCUGCCCUCCCUGGUCCUGACUAGUCUAUUGGAGCCGGGCGAUCUCGGCUCCACGGGUGUACACACAGUAUAGUUUCAACAAGAGAUAUGUAUUGUCCAACCCACUCACCCGCCCAGUCCGUCAGCCAGUCAGUCAGCUUGUCAGUUAGUUAAGUAAGUCAGUUUUAGCUAUUGUGUAUGUGUGUGUGUUUGUGUGUUUUCAAGAAGUGUGUGUGUGUGUGUGUUUGAGUAUGUAUUGUUGUGUGUGUAUUUCAAAGUGUGUGUGUGUGUGUGUGUGUGUGUGUGUGUGUGUGUGUGUGUGUGUGUGUUUUUUCAAGAAUUGUGUAUGUGUGUUUUCAAGGUGUGUGUGUGUGUGUGUGUGUGUGUGUGUGUGUUUUCAAGAAGUGUGUAUGUGUGUUUUCAAGGUGUGUGUGUGUGUGUGUGUGUGUGUGUGUGUGUGUGUGUUUGUUACUGGAAACUGGAGAUAUGACUGACUUCCUGACUGAUUGACUGACUGACUGACUGACUGACCGGUUGACUGGUGGUGGUGGUGGUGGUGGGGAGGGGUGGUGGGGGGCAGGGACCCAACACUGGGGCGGGCUUAACAAACACAACCGAUCCACACCACCAGAAAACAACCAAAAUUUGAUCCCGUUAGUCUCAAGAAGCUCAACCUCUCCAUGUGGGUGUUAGUGUGUACGUAUGUGUGUGUGUGUGCGCGUUUGUGUGCGCGGCGGUCAAACAGGCUGUCAAACGCUUUCCUUGAACAAGCGAGCAACACAAACAGCCAGAUAGCCUUGACAAACAGACACACGCACAUACGCACGCACACACACACACACACACACACAGCCGUACAAAUAUCAAUGUUUUUUUCUUUCUUCUUUUAUUUUCUUGCGAUUUAUAACAAAAUGUGAUUCAUGUUACUGUAAUAAAUGGCUUGAGAGAGAGCGAGAGAGAGAGAGGGAAUUAGAGAUAGUGAGCGAGUGAGUUAGAGCUAGCUUAAUUGGUCUUAUAUAUGUGUGGCUGAAUGAAGCGAGAAAGAGAGAGAGAGAGAGGGAUGGGAGGGAAGGAUUCAAGAGAGAGAGAGAGAGAGAGAGAGAGAGAGAGAGAGAGAGACGUACCAUAUUAGAGAUUAGAGAAAAUGAGAGAAAUUAGAGAAAGCAACAGAAAAUGAGAGAAAGAAGAUUAGAGAGAAUUGAAUGGAAGGCAAAAUCACUCUCUCUAAGAAGAUUAAAAAAAAAAGAGAGAGUGAGAAAGUGAGAAAUUAAAGAAAGCGAAAGAAAAUAUAGAAAGUCUAAAGAAAGAAAACGGAGUCUCUCUCUCUCUCUUAGAAAAUCCGGACAAAGAGCGAGAGAGAGAAAGAGAGUGAAGGAAAGUGAGCGAGAUAGAGCGAGAGAGAGCGAGGGGCUUCUUGAGGGGAGGGUACAACAUCGCAUCACAUUCCGGAGGUCACAACAUCGCACAACAUCGGUAUAAGGCAAGAUUAUGGUGACAGGGGGGUGGUGGUGAGGGUGAGAGGAGGAGGAGGAGGAGGAGGAGGAAGAGGAGAGGAGGAGGAGGAGGAGGUGGGUGUCAGUAGUAGAGGAAGAAGAAGAAUGGAAGAAGAUGGGAAGGGGGCAGAAGGAGGAAGAGGAGGAGGAGGAGGAGGAGGGAGAAGAAGAAGAGGAGGAGGUGGAUGUUGGUAUUAGCAGAAGAAGAAGGAGAGAGAGAAACAGAGAUACAGACAGAGAGAGAGAGAGAGAGAGAGAGAGAGAGAGAGAGAGAGAGAGAGAGAGAGAGAAAGGUCAGGCUAGGUUAAGUUAUAGGUCAAGUUAGGUUAAGUUAGGUAAAGAAAAAAAAACACAAAAAAAAACAAGAUCAGAAUAGUCAGAAGAGAGGGAGGUUAGGUUAGGUUAGGUCAGGUAAGGGUCAGCUAUAUGUAGGGUAAGGUCGACAAUGGAAAGGUUGAGCUCGUUAAAGAAGUACCUACCUACCUAUAGCUAUUACCUGGGCAAGCCAUUACAAAAAAAGGCAGAAGGUAUUAUUAAGAUUAGUACAACAACGUUACGCUUCUUGGAUCAACCAUUAACUACCUAACGGCCUAUUUAUAUAUGUAAGUUUAACAGCCAGCCUCCAGCGCACACUCAGGAUACAUACACACAGGAACGCAUGCUGGCGAUAGGGCGGUGGGAAAAUAUCGGGUGAAAAUAUCGGGUUGGAAAAUCGGGCGAAAAUAUCGGGUUGGAAAAUCGGGUGAAAAUAUCGGGUCAGGAAACUGGAUGUGGAUAUCGGAUAAGGAAAUUCAAGUUGGGAAAUCGGGAAAGGAAAAUAAGGUUGAAGUCAAUGUUGGGUAUAUCGGGUAAAGGAAAAUCGGUU